rnacentral:rRNA from 1 species
CCCGCCGCGCGGCGGGCGGGGCGGGGGCACGGGGGGAGGAAAGUAGGGGAUCGCAAGACCUUGCGCUAAAGGAGCGGCCGAUGUCUGAUUAGCUAGUUGGUGGGGUAAAGGCUUACCAAGGCAACGAUCAGUAGUUGGUCUGAGAGGACGGCCAACCACACUGGGACUGAGACACGGCCCAGACUCCUACGGGAGGCAGCAGUGGGGAAUUUUGGACAAUGGGCGAAAGCCUGAUCCAGCCAUGCCGCGUGAGUGAAGAAGGCCUUCGGGUUGUAAAGCUCUUUUAGUCGGAAAGAAAGAGUUGCAAUGAAUAAUUGUGAUUUAUGACGGUACCGACAGAAAAAGCACCGGCUAACUACGUGCCAGCAGCCGCGGUAAUACGUAGGGUGCGAGCGNNNAUCGGAAUUACUGGGCGUAAAGGGUGCGCAGGCGGUC